CGAGAGAUACGUGAAUCAUCGAAUCUUUGAAUGCAUAUUGCGCCUGGUGCCCCAUUUGGUGGCUCCAGACAUGUCUGCCUCAGCGUCGUGAUGGACCCUUGUCCCUUCUUAUUUUUCUUUUGAACAAUAAGUUGGAACAGAUCUGGCAGUCUCAAAGCUUGGGCUUGUAAUUUAUUACAAGCAAAGCCUGGGUCUGCUGAAGCUCAGAGACUCACACCUUAGGACCCAUUCCAAAGGGACAAUAGCUGGUUAGGCUUCUUAUCAAGCUACUUGCUAGUGUCCUGGGCCUUAAGAGAAAAGAGUCAGCAGGAAUAAAAUAUUAAAUCAUCUUUUGACCUGAGUUCAGGCAAGGCUACCCGCUGAACUUAAGCAUAUCAAUAAGCGGAGG
rnacentral:rRNA from 1 species